rnacentral:rRNA from 1 species
UACGGGGGGGCAAGCGUUGUUCGGAAUUACUGGGCGUAAAGGGCUCGUAGGUGGCCAACUAAGUCAGACGUGAAAUCCCUCGGCUUAACCGGGGAACUGCGUCUGAUACUGGAUGGCUUGAGUUUGGGAGAGGGACGCGGAAUUCCAGGUGUAGCGGUGAAAUGCGUAGAUAUCAGGAGGAACACCGGUGGCGAAAGCGCUCAUCUGGCCCAAUACUGACGCUGAGGCGCGAAAGCUAGGGGAGCAAACGGG